rnacentral:rRNA from 1 species
UGGGGAAUAUUGGACAAUGGGCGCAAGCCUGAUCCAGCCAUGCCGCGUGAGUGACGAAGGCCUUAGGGUUGUAAAGCUCUUUUGGCGGGGACGAUAAUGACGGUACCCGCAGAAUAAGCUCCGGCUAACUUCGUGCCAGCAGCCGCGGUAAUACGAAGGGAGCUAGCGUUGUUCGGAAUCACUGGGCGUAAAGCGCACGUAGGCGGCAAUUCAAGUCAUCUGUGAAAUCUCCGGGCUUAACUCGGAACGGUCAGAUGAUACUGCUUUGCUAGAGUGCAGAAGGGGCAAUCGGAAUUCUUGGUGUAGCGGUGAAAUGCGUAGAUAUCAAGAGGAACACCUGAGGUGAAGACGGGUUGCUGGGCUGGCACUGACGCUGAGGCGCGAAAGCCAGGGGAGCAAACGGGAUUAGAUACCCAAGUAGUCCCUGAGCGGGCUGGCAAGGCGCAU